GAAGCUGACCAGACAGUCGCCGCUUCGUCGUCGUCCUUUCGGGGAGACGGGCGGAGGGGAGGAAAGUCCGGGCUCCAUAGGGCAGGGUGCCAGGUAACGCCUGGGGGGGAAACCCACGACCAGUGCAACAGAGAGCAAACCGCCGAUGGCCUACGUAAGUGGGAUCAGGUAAGGGUGAAAGGGUGCGGUAAGAGCGCACCGCGCGGCUGGUAACAGUCCGUGGCACGGUAAACUCCACCCGGAGCAAGGCCAAAUAGGGGUUCAUAAGGUACGGCCCGUACUGAACCCGGGUAGGCUGCUUGAGCCAGUGAGCGAUUGCUGGCCUAGAUGAAUGACUGUCCACGACAGAACCCGGCUUAUCGGUCAGUUUCACCU
rnacentral:RNase_P_RNA from 1 species